rnacentral:rRNA from 1 species
UUCCGGUUGAUCCCGCCGGACCCCACUGCUAUCGGGGUAAGGCUAAGCCAUGCAAGUCGAAGGUCCCCGGCUCCGGGGGCCUGGCAGACGGCUCAGUAACACGUGGCUAACCUGCCCUAGGGAGGAGGAUAACCCCGGGAAACUGGGGUUAAACCUCCAUAAGCGACAGGCUCUGGAAGGACCUGUCGCUGAAAGUGGUGUACGGGGAUGCUCCGUACACCAGCCCUAGGAUGGGGCUGCGGCCCAUCACGGUUGUUGGCGGGGUAACGGCCCGCCAAGCCUAUAACGGGUACGGGCCCUGAGAGGGGGAGCCCGGAGAUGGACUCUGAGACAAGAGUCCAGGCCCUACGGGGCGCAGCAGGCGCGAAAACUCCCCAAUGCCCGAAAGGGUGAGGGGGUUACCCCGAGUGCCACCCUCGUGGUGGCUUUUGCGGGGUCUAAAAAGCCCCGCGAAUAAGGGGGGGGCAAGACGGGUGUCAGCCGCCACGGUAAUACCCGCCCCCCGAGUGGUGGGGACUAUUACUGGGCUUAAAGCGCCCGUAGCCGGCCGGGUGUGUCCUCCGUUAAAUCCACGGGCCUAACCCGUGGGCUGCGGAGGAUACUGCCCGGCUUGGGGGUGGGAGAGGGCGGCGGUAUUCCCGGGGUAGGGGUGAAAUCCUCUGAUCCCGGGAGGACCACCGGUGGCGAAGGCGGCCGCCCAGAACACGCCCGACGGUGAGGGGCGAAAGCUGGGGGAGCAAACGGGAUUAGAUACCCCGGUAGUCCCAGCUGUAAACGAUGCGGGCUAGGUGUCGGGUGGGCUACGGGCUCACCCGGUGCCGAAGGGAAACCAUUAAGCCCGCCGCCUGGGGAGUACGGCCGCAAGGCUGAAACUUAAGGGAAUUGGCGGGGGAGCACCACAAGGGGUGGACGCUGCGGCUUAAUUGGAUUCAACGCCGGGA